UAUAAUCGGUCGGAUAUUUUUCAUUCAAUUCUAUUAGUAUUAACUAUUAAUCGAAUGCUCACCGCGGAGAGAAUUCUCUUUGUUGUUUUCUCUAAGCCUAUGGUACAAAUCCCUUCAAUUUAUUGUCGAUUCGCGGACUUCCUAGCCCCUUCGGCCAGGAGAAGGUUGCUCUUUCCCUGGUCUGCCCGUGGGAUCCCUCCCACCGCGGAGUCGGAAUGAGCUUCUGGAUCUAGGAGAUGAAGGAGUUGUGUUGUGGAGGAGCAGCAGCCAUAAGGAUUAAGAGCGAGCAUGCAUGCGGCCAUGGUUGCCCCCUUCUCUACAGGACUUUGCUCUGUGAGUUUGGUGGUAAACCAGACAAGGGGUCGCUUCUUCUACCUGUUGCAGGUUUGUGCUUGAUGUGAUUCUGCCAAGAAAGUCCUUGCUAUCUUCCUCUUGGUGCCAUUCUUCCACGAGGAGAGACGAUGGAGAUAGUACCGUUGGCCAGAUUAUUAAGCCUUCAUUAUAUUGAUCUUUAUCCACGAACUUCCUUUUUUAUCGUUGAAAAUUUUGUUAAAUUUUAAAAAAUAUUAUAGUAUUAUUAAAUUACAGUUUACUAGUUGCCAUUU